GGAGCGAUGGCAGAGUGGCUGAAUGCACCGGUCUUGAAAACCGACGUACCGCAAGGUACCGGGGGUUCAAAUCCCUCUCGCUCCG
rnacentral:tRNA from 1 species